CGGCGUUACCGGUCCGGCUUAACGGCGCAACAGCCGGCCUGGUUCCGUAUCGCCGGGGCCAGGGCGGGGAGGGACCGGCCGCCGGAGAGACCCGGUGGCUCCGUGGCGCAAUGGAUAGCGCAUUGGACUUCUAGAGGCUGAAGGCAUUCAAAGGUUCCGGGUUCGAGUCCCGGCGGAGUCGCAGUUUUUCCCGAUUUUUUUCCCCCCUCAAGAAAUUUUUUUCUGACCCCAUCCUUUCUCUCCUUUUUUUUCCACAAACGUUGAACAUGCCUCUUUUCCCUUCCGUUUCUCCUUCUGCCUGGGGCUUCUCCCCCGUUCCACCUCUAGUCGCUCGCGAGGUUGCGCCCGCCCGGCUUCCUCAGCUCGGUGGCUCUGGAUACUGGGCCCAGCUGACAGCAGAGCCCGAUCCAGGAACUGGGAGGAAUGGCUCCGGCCGGCGGCCAAGCGAGGCCUCACAGUUUUGGUCCAAAGCUGGCCCGGGUCUCGGUGUUCCGGAGCUGCCCCCACGCUCCAGGGCUGACAGCCUCUAGCCCCGAGCGCGGCGGGGACCGCUAGGGAGGGCGCAGGAAGGAUGAGAAGAUACACCUACACCCUGACCCGUGGUGUGCAGGCCGACUGCCCUUCCAGCCCCGAAGGCUUCAAAACUGUCGCUUACUGGAAUCCCCAGUGGGAUCAGAAAUGCAGAUUUAUGGAGUCGAUUGGGGAUGGGGCCGAGGAAUCUGCAUUUCUGGUAAGAACGCCCGCUGCUCUGCCCCAGGAUUCCAGUGCUGAGCUCCCAGGUCCGUUCUGCCCGUCAGCUCCCUCAGGCAGGGACUGCUAUCUUGUACCUCUUCUGCUGACAACUCAUAGGUUUGCAUGUGAUCAGGGUUCCACCUCACUAAAUGCGCGUAAACCAAUGAAUGGACUUUUCAAAAUUAAUUGUGACAAACGAUGCAAAAAAAUAAAAACUCCAAAAUUGUUUAAAAAGGUA